UACGUAGGGUCCGAGCGUUGUCCGGAAUUAUUGGGUCGUAAGAGCUCGUAGGCGGCUUGUCGCGUCGACUGUGAAACCCGCCGGCUCAACUGCGGGCCUGCAGCCGAUAUGCGGGCAGGCUAGAGGUUCGUGAGGGAGACUGGAAUUCCGGUGGUAGUGGUGAAAUGCGUAGAUAUCGGGAGGAACACCAGUGGCGAAGGCGACUAC
rnacentral:rRNA from 1 species